ensembl:ncRNA E02C12.16 ncRNA
ACGUCGAAACCAGUAUUAUUCCCUAUUUCAUUGUGACACAAAAAAGUAGUCCCAAAAUGUGAUAAAUCACAAGUUUCCAAAUGAGACUGCCCUUGAUGAAUAGUAACGAAUUGAAUAGAACAAGCUUCUUCUCAGUCUCUUAGCGGAGAGGAACACCGGCCGAUAAGUGUCCUUGGCAAGUUGCACAUGCUUGCAAGAGGCGCCAAUUC